CAAGUCGAACGCGAAAGUGGAGCAAUCCAUGAGUAGAGUGGCAAACGGGUGAGUAACACGUGGGUGACCUGCCUUCGAGCGGGGGAUAACGUCCCGAAAGGGACGCUAAUACCGCAUAACAUCCUGCCUUUUAAGAGGUGGAGAUCAAAGCCGGGGAUCGCAAGACCUGGCACUUGAAGAGGGGCCCGCGCCUGAUUAGCUAGUUGGUGGGGUAAUGGCUCACCAAGGCAACGAUCAGUAUCCGGCCUGAGAGGGCGGACGGACACACUGGGACUGAGACACGGCCCAGACUCCUACGGGAGGCAGCAGUGGGGAAUUGUUCGCAAUGGGCGCAAGCCUGACGACGCAACGCCGCGUGGAGGAUGAAGACCUUCGGGUCGUAAACUCCUUUCGAUCGAGACGAAUGGUUUCCGGGUGAACAAUCCGGAGAAGUGACGGUACCGAGAGAAGAAGCCCCGGCUAACUCCGUGCCAGCAGCCGCGGUAAUACGGGGGGGGCAAGCGUUGUUCGGAAUUACUGGGCGUAAAGGGCUCGUAGGUGGCCAACUAAGUCAGACGUGAAAUCCCUCAGCUUAACUGGGGAACUGCGUCUGAUACUGGAUGGCUUGAGUUUGGGAGAGGGAUGCGGAAUUCCAGGUGUAGCGGUGAAAUGCGUAGAUAUCUGGAGGAACACCGGUGGCGAAGGCGGCAUCCUGGACCAAUACUGACACUGAGGAGCGAAAGCCAGGGGAGCAAACGGGAUUAGAUACCCCGGUAGUCCUGGCCCUAAACCAAUGAAUGCUUGGUGUGGCGGGUAUCGAU
rnacentral:rRNA from 1 species